rnacentral:sRNA from 1 species
AGGAAUUAAAAAAAAAACGUUCAGCUCUAACAAUCAAGGUAUAAGCGAUGAUCAAGACAUAAAUAAAAGCAUUCCCAAAGCGCACUUUCAAAAUUGAAAUGAAUUUAUCAUGUUGUUCCUAAAAAUAUUAUGUCCACAUCCUCUAAGCUGUUUCACAAAGUUCCAUUAUUGGGAAUGCCGCCGAAUUAGAAUUAAAGCUAACACAGGUAAAAAGUAUCAAAUUUGAGCUUGGAAAUCAUUCAAGUAAAUAAACCACACAUCAUUUGUUUAGUCUAUAAAAUAGUUUCGAUUUCCAGUUUUAUUUGUUGGGUUUAUUGGUUGUACAUUGGUGGAAAUGUAGGACCCCGCAAGACUUGAAAACAAACUACCAA